GGGAGGUGUUGGCUCUGAAUGUUCACUGAAACACUGCUUGAAGAGAGGGGAGGCCGGACAGCACGGAUGAAUGGACGUUUCUUCCCAAACACAGCAGUGUGGAGCCGUCAGCAGGAGGCAUCCACAGCAAGAUACACCCUUCAGAAGUCAGGAGGCCUGUGUUUGCUCCAGGGAUUACAUUACCACACCAGAGGCCUUCCAGACAGACACACACACUGCAUCACCACCAAAGGGAAUCCAAACACAGCGGGGAGGAAAACGGCUGCGGUCCGGGCCGUGAAUGGCAGGCAGGCGUUUGAUGCUGGGAAAGCGACAACAAAGCAUUCCCGGAGGGACUCAGUAGGGGGACGGACCAGCACUCCUAUUCCGCACUAGAUGCCUGUGACACCUUGACACCGCAACUUCCUGCUAAUUUAGAGCAGGCAUCUCUUCCCUGUCAGCACAUCCUCAUCCUCGUGUGUGUGUGCGUGUGUGCGCGUGUGCGUGUGCGUGUGUGUUCGAAGCUAGAGAGGUCAGCUGGACUGAUGAGCCAGGUCAGGUGAGAUAGGAAGGGAUGGGUGGGAAUGAACAUUCAGUUUAGGUGUGUGUGUGAGAAAACAGGUUUCUGUGUGACGCUGUGGUUUGGUAGUUUAGUGCCUCAUGUUCUGCCAGUUUUGUAUGUGUUUUUGUCAAUGGAGGCAUCAGGAGCACAGCUAAUAAAAGAGAAUAAAUGAUAUGAUGGAGGUGCAAGGUGGAGGUUUCAGAAAUCACCUGCACGAUUGCCUGUCAGGGAUUAGACC
rnacentral:lncRNA from 1 species